UGGGGAAUUUUGGACAAUGGGGGAAACCCUGAUCCAGCCAUGCCGCGUGAGUGAAGAAGGCCUUCGGGUUGUAAAGCUCUUUCAGCCGGAACGAAACGGUCACGGCUAAUACCUGUGACUACUGACGGUACCGGAAGAAGAAGCACCGGCUAACUACGUGCCAGCAGCCGCGGUAAUACGUAGGGUGCAAGCGUUAAUCGGAAUUACUGGGCGUAAAGCGUGCGCAGGCGGUUUUGUAAGUCAGAUGUGAAAUCCCCGGGCUUAACCUGGGAACUGCAUUUGUGACUGCAUGGCUGGAGUGCGGCAGAGGGGGAUGGAAUUCCGCGUGUAGCAGUGAAAUUCGUAGAUAUUCGGAAGAACACCAGUGGCGAAGGCGACUUACUGGACACAUAUUGACGCUGAGGUGCGAAAGCGUGGGGAGCAAACA
rnacentral:rRNA from 1 species